CCUACGGGAGGCAGCAGUGGGGAAUCUUGCGCAAUGGGCGAAAGCCUGACGCAGCCAUGCCGCGUGAAUGAUGAAGGUCUUAGGAUUGUAAAAUUCUUUCACCGGGGACGAUAAUGACGGUACCCGGAGAAGAAGCCCCGGCUAACUUCGUGCCAGCAGCCGCGGUAAUACGAAGGGGGCUAGCGUUGCUCGGAAUUACUGGGCGUAAAGGGAGCGUAGGCGGAUAGUUUAGUCAGAGGUGAAAGCCCAGGGCUCAACCUUGGAAUUGCCUUUGAUACUGGCUAUCUUGAGUACGGAAGAGGUAUGUGGAACUCCGAGUGUAGAGGUGAAAUUCGUAGAUAUUCGGAAGAACACCAGUGGCGAAGGCGACAUACUGGUCCGUUACUGACGCUGAGGCUCGAAAGCGUGGGGAGCAAACAGGAUUAGAUACCCUGGUAGUCCACGCUGUAAACGAUGAGUGCUAGUUGUCGGGCAUGCAUGCAUGUCGGUGACGCAGCUAACGCAUUAAGCACCUCCGCCGUGGGGUAGGUACGGUCGGCGAAGAAUUAAACCUUACUUAAAUUAGUAAGUUAGUUACGG
rnacentral:rRNA from 1 species